rnacentral:pre_miRNA from 1 species
AAUGGAAUAGCUGGGUAAUAUGGUGGUCCCAUUCCUAUUUUUUGAGGAAUCUCUACACUCCUUUCCAAAGUGGUUGUGCUAAUAUGAAGUCUCACCAACAAU